GUUACUAUAGUUGAAUAAACAACGAUGAUUUUUCAUGUCAUUGGUCUUGGUUUUAAGUCCAUGUAGUAAUU
rnacentral:tRNA from 1 species